rnacentral:rRNA from 1 species
GACGAACGCUGGCGGCGUGCUUAACACAUGCAAGUCGUACGGUCAGGCCCUUUCGGGGGUACACGAGUGGCGAACGGGUGAGUAACACGUGCGUAACCUGCCCACAACUUUGGGAUAACGAUAGGUAACUGGUGCUAAUACUGGAUAUGUGCUCCUGCUGCAUGGUGGGGGUUGGAAAGCUCCGGCGGUUGUGGCUGUAAUCGCGGCCUAUCAGCUUGUUGGUGGGGUAGUGGCCUACCAAGGCGGCGACGGGUAGCCGGCCUGCGAGGGUGACCGGCGACAGUGGGACUGAGAUACGGCCCAGGCUCCGACGGGAGGGAGCAGUGGGGAAGAUUGAACAAGGGGCGCAAGCCUGAUGCAGCAACGCCGCGGGCGGGAUGACGGCCUUCGGGUUGGAAACCGCAUUCAGCAGGGACGAAGCAUUUUGUGACGGUACCUGCAGAAGAAGCACCGGCUAACUACGUG